ACAGGGGUGGGCGGACGGGCGCGGGGCGGGCACGCCGGGUACCCGAUCCCCAGGGGGUGUCGGCUGUAUCUGCCAGGACGCGGGCGCCAACGCGGGAAAGGCGCCGCCGGGCCCCGCCUCCCGCGGUCCCAGCCGCUUUGGCGCGAACCUUCAGUUCCGUGGUGCUUGCCCUGCCGCCGCCAGCAUGGGUCCGUCGCGCUCGCAGCGCCGAGGUUGUUCAGGAAGGAAAAACUUCAUAGCAUUCCGAAAUACGAAACUGAUUCCCAUGGAAACAUCCUCAUCCUCUGAUGACAGUUGUGACAGUUUUGGCUCUGAUAAUUUUGCAAACACAAAAUGCAAGUUUAGGUCGGAUAUUAGAGAAGAGCUGGCAAAAAUUUUUCACGAAGCCUCUGAUGAUGAAUCUUUCUGUGGUUUUUCUGAAAAUGAGAUUCAAGAUGCAUUGAAAUUAGAAUCGGAUUCAGAAGAGAAUGAUACAAGUGCUGAGAGUGAGGUAGCUCAGAGACGGCAGAAAUGCCCUGUUCCUCUAAAAGUAGCCAUGAAGUUUCCACCUCGAAGAUCGGAGAGGAGGAAGGGUGAAAUGGAACCUCUUCCUGAAAAGCUGGUGCCUGUUCCAGAUUCGGACUCUGACUCUGAAGAAAAGGGUGCCAUAUUUUUAGAAAAAAGAGCUUUAAACAUAAAGGAAAACAAAGCAAUGCUUGCAAAACUAAUGGCUGAGUUGCAAAAUGUUUCUGGUAUCUUUGGUGAGAGAAAAUCAUUGACAACUGUCAGUCAUGGACCAAAGCGACUUCCAAGACGUUCAUUGCCCAGAAGUGCUUUGAGGAGGAACCCAGACAGAAGUUCUCGGCCUCACACAAGAUCGAGGUCCCUGAUUGAAGGUCCUCCUACUCCUUUACCAGAAGAGGAUGAUGAUGACCGGUAUAUAUUAGUGAGAAGACGACGGAUGUCUGAUGAAUACCUGGAGCAUGAAGCCCGAACUCCCAGGAGGGGUCACCGUGGUGCCAUGGCUUUUCCACACAUUGUGCGCCCAGUUGAGGAGAUAACAGCGGAAGAGCUGAAUAAUAUUUGUAGUUCUGCAAGAGACAAAGUAUAUAACAGGGCCAUGGGAUCCACCUGUCAUCAGUGUCGCCAGAAAACCAUAGACACCAAGACAAAUUGUCGUAACCCUGAUUGCAUAGGAGUACGGGGCCAAUUCUGUGGGCCGUGCCUCCGCAAUAGGUAUGGGGAAGAUGUCAGAACGGCAUUGCUGGAUCCGACCUGGAGGUGCCCACCAUGUCGUGGAAUCUGCAACUGUAGCUUCUGCAGACAGCGAGAUGGCCGAUGUGCUACAGGUGUCCUGGUCUAUCUGGCCAAGUACCAUGGCUAUGACAAUGUCCAUGCCUACUUGAAAAGUCUGAAACAAGAACUUGGAAUGGAAGACUGAAGCUGUGACUGCCUUUAAAUUACGUACUCUUUCACCAAUGUCAUAUUAUUGCCUACAGUGAAUUGUUUAAUCAAAUAAGAUUACAAAGCCAGUGCUUGCCUUCCCUCCCCUUUUGGGUAAAAAAGGAUAAAGAACUUUCACUUAUCUCAGUGCAAAUCAUACUUGAGAAAACUGUUUAAUGAAGGUCUUUGCCCACAGGCCAUUGUUUUCUUUUUAAACAACUUUGCAAAUCACAUAGCAUCAGUCCUUGCUUUCAUGCCAAUAACUUUUUGUUUUCCUGAAAGGAGACAGGGCUUUAAGCCAUUGGAGUUUCAUUCAUGCAGUGAUCUGUGCUGCAGGUUUAUUUAUGCUUUGAAGCUGAUCACAAAAAGAUACAGAUGUUCUGAAAAUUCAGGGCACUGUUAUGCGAGUAAAGGUGUGUGCUUAACUCCAGGCCAACUUCUGCUGCAAUACAGACUUUUACUGAACAUAAAUGAUCAAAUAGAAGCUAAGAAUUCUCUAAAACAACAAUGCAUUCUUCAGUUCAAAAAGGAAGCUCUAAAAGUUGUAGCUGAGCAGUCUCCAAGCACUAAUAUUUGGUUUUAUAGAGCACUUAAAGUGCACAUUGGCCAUUUUAAGAGAGAUUCUCCGAGUGACUUAAAAAAUGCAGCAGAAGCAGUUGGGGGUGGCACAUUGUAUUUUUGCUCAGAUGAGGAGGCCACUGCUGAAAGCUACCACAGCACUAGCAUUGCCUAGUGAUGACAGUGAUGUGAAUGUACUGGUAUACAUUGUGGAGUGACCACUGUCUAAAACAGAAUGUACUUUUUGUUAAAUUACUGUUUUUGUGGGUUCUCCCUGCUUUUGCUGCAACUGCAGAGCUGCUUCUUUGCAGAAUUGGCACUGGUCCUGAGGAAGAGGGAUAUCUCCAGACCAGGGCUUGGUUAAGUAAAGGGGUAGUGGUUCAUGUGGUUGUUGGUCAACUACAAGUGGAUGAAAGAUGGUAACUUGUUGAAUUUGGUUAUCAGGAAAAGGAGCAAUGACAAAUAAUCACUGGAAUCAGAAGCCUGAGAUAUUUUACCUCUGAAAAAAAUUGAAAAGCAAGGACUUCCAGCUUGAAUGUGAAUAGCUGUGCAAUCUGAGGUGGAGAGUGCUCUACCCUCUAGUCUUUUUAAACUAGAUGCCUACAUCCUGAGCUGAGGAGGAUAUUAUCGUUUUGGACACAAGUCAAAGUCAGCUGGGCCUAGUGAGAGGAGUCACAUGAGACUGGCAGAAGACUAUACAAAGCUGGCCUGUAGUGAGAGAGGAAACAGGAAAGAAGCGAUCAAGCAGUGACAGCUGUCCCCAGAUACUCUACUGGGAAAAUACAGAAAUUGGAGCAGCAGAAUGUAACAUGAAAAGCUGUAGCGGUGGAAAAAGGCCAGCUGGUUCAACAUGCCAGUCCUUUUAAAGCAGGCUUUUCCUGAACUUCAGAACAUGUAAGGUUAAAUCAGAAGCUGCUGAGAGUAAACUGCUAAGAAAAACAUGCAAAUAAUAAACAAAAUGAAGCUGCAUUCUUUCCUCUGAAGAGAGGCAGAAAAAGAAGGAGGCUACAGAUCACUUAAACUAUGAUCAGUGAAACAGGGCAGCUGAUCAGAGGGAUGCAGCCUUUAGAACAAUGUUAGCUCUUCCAGACCCAGGAAGCAGAAUAGUAUUUUUCAAACUGAAGACUUCACUCCCAUCGUAACAGAUCAAACCAUCAUUCAGACCAGCAGAUCCCGUCCUUUCUCAGCCUGAUGCUUCUCCUUCCUCCUCGCAGUGGGAGGCUCCUGGCAGCUGGGGACAGAGAGCCACGGCCGUGGGAUGUCGCAGGGCUUGCUGGCAGGUGAGCUGCUGCUGGCUGGGGUACCGGUGCCUGAGGAGAAGGAAGACGGGAGCUCACAGUUUGCUGCCAUGGACGUACGGGGCCUGUUUCACUCCUGCCUUCCUCUUCGACGCGCCUCUUUCCCAGGGACCGGGCACAAAACCCUGCUCAGUGGGCGGACGCAGGUGGUUGCAGUCGGCCGAGUCGCCCCCAGCCCCACAGCUAUUUCUGCUACAGCUUCCUGUCCUUGACCCAACGAUACAUUGUGAAGUUCUCCUGAGUCAAUGAAUCCUGGUAAAAUGCAGUAAAGGAUUUAAGGUUAUCGUCUGUCUCUCUCUAACUUCUGACAUCUCUUUAUAACAAGAAAGAGUCACAGCCAGCUGUAACAGGAGGGCAGCACAAUGAAUCCUGGUUCCGAAGACGCUGUGGGUCCCUCAGUUACGCCCAAUGCCUUAUUCUUGAAAGUAACUGGGUGCAGCAGCAGAUGUCAGCGAAGGAUGGGCACCUACAAUGUGCUGUUUGCAAAGCAAGGAAGCUGGAACCCAAGGGUAUGGUCCCCUCUGAAGAGCUGAAUAACACACUGGCCUUGGACCAACAAAGUUUGCUAAGGCAAAUACUUCUAAAGAAGAUCCAGGAUUUGAAAACUAGGAGAGUAGCAGAGCUCUGCUGAAUUUGCCUCUGCAAAAUUUCUGACAGCAUUUGGUUCUGCAAUGUCCCGGCAUGGAGUGCUCCUGCAUUUCCUCUGCAGUCAAGGAGAACAGAGGAUACUCAGGACUUCUGCCUUUUGAAGGAUCAAGCUCUUGAAGAACCCCCACCGUUAGGAAUAUGACCUCUUCAGGUACUUAAAAUUAUUUAAUUAGCAUUAUAAACAUUAGAAAGAACGCAGUUGACAAAUCAUUCUAGCAAAAGUAAUGGAGCUGGAAUUGGAGGUCUCACAGAAUUUUCUACAAAAGAUAGUGUUUCUGAAAUAUUUUUUUUAAUUGUUUUAAAAGGCUGUAGAAAGAAGGGAAGCAAGCAAGCUAUCAGGCAGUAGGGUUUUUUCCCCUCAGUGGUUUUUGUGAACUAAGAAUAGAGAGAACACAUAGCAAGCAUCUUGCUAUUAAAUUUGCCUGCGACAAAUAGUGCAGCUGCAUGUAGUGUGCAAGAACAUCUGUAGAAUCAUGACACAUGCAGAAUCCCCCACACUAAGAGCGUGACAUUAUACUGAAAACAAUUCAGUUGUAAAAGAAAUAUAAAUCCAUUUUAUAUAAUCCUUCUCCACCUUCUCCUCCCCCUUCUCUUUUGAAUUACGUUAACUAAAGGAUUCAGUCACUCCUUCGUGGCAUUGGUAAAAAUCACAAUAUAAAAGUGACUAAGCAUUUCAGAAUUGUCCCCUUCUUUCAUUAACAGCUAGAAUGCAAGUAUGUCUUUCCUGAAAAAAACAACGUUUAAGAAAGAAUAACCAGGGGCAGAAAUGCACUAGACACCAGAGCUUACUCCAAGUGGAACUUGACACAGUUCGCAGAUGCAAUUUAACUCUUCAGAAAUCAAGGGGUGAUUUUCUGUGUCUCUGUAUCUUGUGCAGUCGUUCCAUUCAAAGUGAGCAGUAGGAUUGCUACCAGUCUUUACUUGACCCAUGUAAAUGACUGCAUGAAGUACAGUGAUACAGAAAAAUAUGUCUAAAAUGUAUAGAUUUGUAAAGUAAGGGGAAUCUCCCUGCCUGGGAUUUGGUGAGUUCUCACAGCUUACCAUUCAAAUGCAGCGAUUGCGGAAUUCAGUACAAUUUCCUUUAAGCUCCAUGCUGUCACAAAGAAGGAUUGUGCCUUUUUCAAAAUCCUAGAAGGCUUUUAUUUUCCCCAAAGUUAUUUUAACAAAAUGUUCACUUCCAUCUUCUAGAUAUUCUACUGCUUUCUCUCUGAAAUACUUUCUUUGCAAUCUUUAGAUUUAUUAAAGUAAGAAAUUUUAUAACAGCAAUGCAAACACUGAUUUUUGUGUAAGUCUGAGGUUGGCUAAAGACUGUGUGAUGAUAAUGCCAUGACAAGGCAAAUGCAUGCAUGGUGUUAAUGCCUGGAUCAUCAUUAACGUGUUUCUUUGGAAACAUCUUACUUUUAGUCGUUAGGACAGCUCAGGCAUGAUAACUACAUGACGCUCCGAGAACAUUUACACAUCCUUUAUGCAUAUUGCAGGGCAAGACUGAGGCUGGAAGAGUCAGCCAGCUGGGUCAUAAUUUUCAACUCUAUGCCCAUUAAAUUCCUGCAACCUAACUGCAAAAACACAACCCUUGAGAGAGAUUUCCUUAAUGAUUUUAUUGAUAGCGUAUAUUUUGAGUUUACUGACUUGCUGAUACUAUUUGGUCAAGUCCUUUGAACUCUGCUUCAUUCGCCAUCUGGACAAAGCCUCGUUUUCCUAUUUCAGAGAGACAUACUGUGCAUAAAUGAGAAGGUUUUUAAAGCGCUUUGGUGAUGGAAAAGAUAUGCAAGUACAGCUGAUACCACCUGACAACAUUUGCUUACUAUUAAGGGUAUAUUUAUCUCUUAAUUAAAUUAGAUAUGAUUCCUCAUUUAAUAAUGCAAUGAUUUUUAACAUCCACGUCCCAGUUUGCAUGUUCAGUAACUGCUUGCACCAGAUAUGUAAUCACGUGCAGCACCAUAGCGGAAAGGAAUGUCAUACGCCCUGCAAAGCAGUUACAGAGUUGGAAAAUGCUUUCAUUAACGUCUCAGUAUCCCUGACUUUCACGUGGCCAGAUGUUACUGCUAUCAACUGUGGCCACGCCAAGCUAGAAAUGAGCGGCUGGGUGAUGCAUCCUGCUUGCCCCGAGUUUCACUGCACUGAACCUUCCACUGCUGGUGCUUGUGUUUCACCUGGUCCAGCAGAUGCAAACAGCUCAAUGUAGUCCUGCGCUCCAGUUAAUAAUGCAAAUAGCGAUACGAUUUUUAACAAGUUAGCACUAUAAGGAGUUGUGGAAAAAAGUACCAGGGAAAGAUACAUUUCUACAGUAUGUAAAAGGAAAUACCUUAACUCCCUUCUUGCAGCUUUUACUUUAAAUAAAGAGUUUUAUGGUGAUUUAAAAAGUUUUAUUUUAUUUUUCUUGUGAUGGGGACAGUGAUUCUUGGAGAGUAGACACAUACACAUGGAUACAUUCACCAUGGAUAAGUGAUUUGAAAAAUACAGAUUAUGAAAUAGAUACGAUUCUAAAAAAAUCACAUAUUUGUUUUAGACCCAAAGGAGCCAAAUUCAGCAUCAUAAUGAUUAUUAUUGCAGCUGAUCUAAUUCUUUCAGUUGUUUGUCUUCAUUUCUGUUUCUGCUGCUGUGAGACUCGUUGUUUACAGCUUCUCAGCCAGAAGAAUAUCCCGAAGGAAAUUACUGUCAGCAGCCAAAAAGAGUAUCAGUAUUUCAUCCCUAAAGCACUGUCAACUUAAUUUUAAAGUAAUUUGUCUGCUUUACGAGUUCAGGCUGAAGUGAUAAGUUUGCAAAUCCAUAAAUCAAACCAUAUUAAUAAAGGUAAUACAUAUCUCUUUUUCAAAUAAUCUAUUUUCCUAAAACUUCGUUGUAAGCGUAGAUUUUAGUAAUUAAAUCUUCAAUUACUAUAAACAGGAGAAAGAAGUAAAAUUGUGAACUGUAUUCUGUACGUCAUAGGAAGGUCUAAAAUGGAAAAGCUAGCUAACUGCUGCCUACUCACUGCACAUCCAGGUUUAUGACUGACUAUUUCCUACAAUUGUUUCUGGCAGGAGCCUUAUACAGGCCACGUCAGCCUCCUUCACUGAAGAAAAAUGUUGGGGUGCAAACCCCUGGUUGGUGGAGCUAGCUGUUGAGCAGAAAUACCAGGAUGGUACCCAAAGCAUCAUACCUCAAAGCGUUCCCAAAUUCAGGUCAUACCUGCAGUGCAUCACGUGGAUGCAGAUGCGUUGUGCCAUCUGCAUGUGGAGGUGCUUAAAGGCUUCACGGUGCUCUGAUGAAGUUGCUGUUUGAUUUGCAGUUGUUAACACUCAGUUUCGGCAUUCAGGCAGGGAAGCUGUGUGCUGCUGAAGACAGCAAAAAGCUGACAAAAAGUAGCAAGUACGUCCAGGAGCUUGAACCUUAGUGAAAGGUCUACUGGAUGACAUGUCUGUUGCAAGGCAGCUCCUCCCUGAAGGCAAGGCCCUGCAGGCAGCCGGCUGAGUGCCCUUUGCCUCACCUCACCUCACCUGCAGAGCCUUUGAUGCAAAAGGCCUAGGGCCAGGAGAAGGAAUUCAUUUUGCAUUGCUUCGAAUACCUUAGGAUUCGAUGGUGUUCAGGUGUGGGGUUUUGCUGAAAUUGGUUGUAAUGAUGAAGGUCAUUUAUGAAUUCAAAAGCUGAAUCCAAACUGGUGUUCUGGUGGCCUCUGAAGCCUAGGAAUGUUCUGCACAACUCUUGGAUGCCUGUCAUGGGUGUAUUAACAUCUCUGCAUCCACAGUUCAGCUCUGUCUAUCUACUGGCCAUAAGCAGAUUUAACAGAUUCAAAAUGGAAAGCAGAUUUGCAUACAAGGGUGACUUGUAAGCUAACGAAUGGUAUCUGGGAACACCGAGGGAAUUCUGUUCCUAGCGGUGUUCUGACUCCAGAGCCAUCUUCUGGGUUGUAGUGACGUUCUUCUAGGUUUAUAACAUAAAUGAAUUUACCUUGUGUGUUCCCCUAAACA